GUUCCCAGCAGGGGCCAAAUUCAGACGGGUGUCUCAGAAGCAUCAGGGCAGCCCCCUUUUAGCUCUUAGCUCAGUUCAUGACACAGCCUGCACUUCAGAGAGAUUCCUUUGCACUUUGAGAAGCAACUACUGAACACGGCAGCAGCAUUCGCCUCCUUAAUUGAUGCUUCAAAGAAGAGAAAUGCAUGGUCAGUUUUCCUCUUGUGAAGCUCCCAGGAAAAGAAAUAGAAGAAUUUCCUAAAUCCCGAACCAAAGAAGCAUAAACUAGUGAGUGCAAAGGCAGAAAAAAAAGCAGUAACAUUCCGGAGAUAAAAUGCAAAGGUAAGAGAAGGCUCUUGUGUGUGUACUCUCCUCCUAACGCACGUAGGAGAGUCAUUGCAGCCUUUAAUUGCUGCUGGAGGUGGAGAAAAUAGAAAGGUUGAAGAAGAGCAUCAGGAGAGAAAUAAUGGAAACCUGACCAGUGACAGGAGAUGAUUACUGUUGGCAGACUGUAUAGGUUUCAGAUUCAUGCCGUGACUUGGGAAAUAAGUCCUGGCCAGGAUGCAUUUUUCUGGAAUAUCCCUAAGGAAUAUAUAUCAGUGAUUCAUCUAAGCAGCCACUGGAUAUCAUUACCGCUCUACCAAAAAUGAAGAUAAAAUAACAAUCUGGAAGAAAUAAAAGAAACAAGUGUCCCAGAUUUUCUCUCAAACUGUAGCAAAGAGAUCAUAAGGGUGAGUAAGGGAAGGAGGGGGGAAGGAAGAGAGGGCUGAACUUUUCAUCUGCACAUCCUCAGUUUGCCUUUAAGCUGUGCACAUCUAGUUUACUCUUGUCAGAAGCCAACACCACUGUACUUUGUAGCUCUUAAAGAAAGAGAUAAUUGCCUUUUUCUCCAGUCACAUGCUCUCUAAUACAGAACUUUAUUUCUUUUUCCUCAGCCCUACACAGUAGGACCUCCAUCACUCAAAACAGCAUAAGCUUCGCUAGAGAUGUUAAUGCACUACCCAAAGCAAACACAAUGCAGAGGCUCUGACAGGUUUAUAUUCUGAAGUCCCUUUUAAACUCAGAAUUUCUCUCUCUUUUUUUUUUUUUCUUGUCGGAUGAACAGUAGCCAAUUAUAAAUUAUAGCUCUCUCUUAAUGCCCCAUCCCAGAAGUUUCUGUGGAUGAAGUUUCUAUCGAGCGUGUGCUGUACUAGGUUGUUUUUAUAUCUCCAAAUAGUUGUUGGAUAUUUUCCCUAUCGUGUAGUUCAGCUAAUACAUACUAGUCAUUUGGGAGAAAACAGAAAAGGGAAUUAAUUCUAGAAAGAAAGAGCUUUAUAAGCUUUUUCUUCCCUUUUAUUUUAUUUUUUUUCUUUUUCUUAUGAGUCAAAGACAUGCCAAAAAACAUAUUUUAAACCAUAGCAUCAGAUACAUAGCUAGACCUUUAGCAACAGUUCACCAAUGUACACCAGAUGCCCCAUAGGGUCUAUCCAGUUUAGCGACCUGCGAGUUUAAGUAGAAGACUGUUACUGAAAUCAGUAUUUUUAUAUAUAAAUAUAUAGCUGCUCCAAGGAGAAUAUAAAUACCUACUGCAAACCAAAUCCAGCCUAGACUCUCUGAACCUUGUAGGAAUUAAUUGCAAGAAUUACACUUUGGAGCUUUUAAAGUAAAAGAUAAUUGCCUCUUUUUCUGUCAUGGGCUUACUAAUACAGAACUUCAGUUUUUCCAAAUCCUCCACAGUGGGACCUCCAUAAGUCAAAGUAAUGUAAACUGUGUGAGAGAUGCUAAUGUUAAGCACUACAAAAAUAUUCAAAUGGGCUAUACAGUAUUUCAAGUGUGAAAAAAAAGCCUGUGGGUUCAGGAAAUAUUUCUUCACCCGAUUCAAGGAGAACAUGUAAACAGGAUUUUUUAACCCUCCACAGUUUGCAGGGGGCUUACUGCAAAGCAUCUCAACACCUAAUUCAAAGAUGCAAACAGUCAUCCCAGCCUUGGGGGACUACUCAAGUGCCCAAAGUUCAGCCUGUUUCUAAUUAACUUACAGAGCUACAACCCCAGUCAAUAAACCAACAUUUUAGUCACAGAUAAACUUAUCAUCCCCUGAGUGUGAACAGCUCAUCUCUGCCAGGAAACCAAGAGCAGCUGCUGCCUUACUCUGCUUUACCAUGGGUGCUUGUUAGUGUACUUAUUUUCAAUCAACUAUAUGUGUCCUGUUCUUACAAAAACCCACUCGCAUUGCUCUAAUUCCUGCUAAAAUGUUUCCCGCACUGCUAGAAGAUCCAGUGAACAAGAGAUUAGGAAGAGGAUCAGCUUGAGGUUGUUUAGCUCUCUCGGUACAGUACCUAUUAACAGUAACUAGGUAUAUCAUGCAGCAUUGGAAUUCCUAAAAUAGCUACAGGCAGAAGAGACAGUGAAAUGCAGACAGCAGAGUGUUAACUCUCCUGUGAAUUACCAUCACAGUUUGCUACUAAUUGAGAAAGUAAAUAAAAAAGGUCCUGACAAUAUGAUCUUUUCUAGCAGGGGCUAUUCUCAUUAAAUGCAGAAUAAAAGGUUGCCACUUCCCCUUCCAACUGCAAAUCCUUUACAGCAAAUCAAAUGUUUCUCUUCUUCUAAGGAGAAAAGACCCAAAAUUAUACUAAUACCACGCGAGGAAGCCAGCUGUAUUAUGCAGUUUCAAUAUUUUUGUUUGACUUCAUGGCAACUUGCAGCGAGUUGCCACUGUCCUUAGGGGCUGUACUCCAAAUGUUGCCCAUAGGUAUAGUUGUGCAACUCUGAAUGAAAGGAAUCAUAAUAUAUUCUGCCAAGAGUUUGGCUCCUGGUUCUUACGAGUUCCCUGAAAGGAACAGGACUUGGAGGAAGAGGACCCCAGGAUGAGUGGGCAACUGUGCAUGCGGCACUGAAGGGUUAGGAGGAUGGGGUGCAGGUAACAAGUAAGGGACCAAGUAAGCUGGAAAUUUUCAAAAGGCUGCCACUUCCUAGGGAAAACAUAUGUACUUAAAAAUACUGCACAGGCAUUUCUAGCCUUUCUGCUGCAAUCUCACCUUCAUCUGAAAUGCAGACAUCCACUUAAAUUCAAAAUACUCCUGUCUUCUUAAGAUUGAGACUCAGAUUAGCAUCUCCCUCUUACAGAAGCAACUUUUGCACUUAGAAGGGGCAGAAACAAGUAAUUUAUUACAACGUUCUGGUCACUGGACUCCAAAAACUGGGAUCACAAAGUGGUCUCCAAUGUCUAGCUCGCUUAGCAGCUAUGAGCCAGGCACAAGGAGCUGCAAUUUCCACUUCUCAGAUGAAAGCUCUUGUAAGGAAGCAGAUAAGAAGAAUUUUAAAAAAAGAAGGAAGCAGAAGAAAUAUGUUUUGUGGAGAAUAAGAUAGCCCACAUACAUUUCAUUGCUAAGAGCUUUGUUAGCUCCUUGCCUUCAGCCAAAGAUUGGGAACACCAAGUUAUAUCACUUAUAUAAAGUGUCAUGCACAAGACCCAGAAACCUGCAGUGUAAAGGGUGUUUGUUUUCUCUGGGAUGACAGUAUCACUUGGAAAGAAGGAAGGGCAGCAGCAUAUCUGCUGAUUAGCUCAAGUAAAUGCUACUACAGAACUCUGGCUUAUUUUGUAAAUUCUGCAUAUAGCUAGCUAUUCUAGAGAAAUAUCUUUUACAAAUGUCCUGGGGUCUUUUCAUCAUUUUCAUUACUAUGUUGCUAUAUGAUUUUUCAAAAAAAAAAAAAAAAAAAAAAGACUGUAUCAUUUAAUGUGUUAUUUGAUGUUACAUUUUUUACAGUGACAUAAUCAUCUAAGAGGUUCCCCAACCUCUUCUCUCCCACACAUAUGGAUGUAUGUAUAUACGUAUAUAUGUAUGCAUAUGUACGUGUAUAUACAUGCAAUAGUUCACGAUUCCUUCAGAUUUUCCACUGUAACAGAGUACUCAAAUGGUCUAAAUAAAAAAUGACCAUAGCCAAAGUUAGGUUUCCAAUGACCUCAGUCUCAGUGACUGAUAAUACAGUACAUCCCAUGGGUGGUUUUGGUGACAGAAGUUUGGAGAUACAUGAAUCGGGGCAGAGGUAGGAGACCCCAGGUAGAAGAGAGAAAAACGACAUAAACUAUUUUGUGAAGAAAAAUGUAAUGUGGAUGCAAAAUCUUAGCAUAAGGUGUGUAGUGCAGAAUUCAGCCCCAGUGUAACCUCCAAGAUCACUGCAGACACAAAAGGCUAUAUGAAUCAAAAAGUAGAGGAGAUGGGGGAAUGAAAAGCACCACUUUUUAGAAAACUACUCCAAACUGAUCUGGUAUUGCUUGUGUGGAUGAAUUAACCUCGUACACACAUAUAUGAAUCAACAGUGUUAUCAGGAGAGAUGAAGAUUUGGAAUAAGUCAUAAUCCUGAGAAGGAGGAAUUGAUGUGCUAGAGAGAAGGAGUGACCUGUGGUUCUCAGAAUUAUUUAUCUGCGAAGUGAGAAAGAUAUGCCUACACUGAAACCUUUGGUCGGAGCCAGAUGUGGCAAGGCACUGUGAAUAAGAGGAUAAGACACUGGUGUGAGCUGGAGUGGAACAGGAAUGAGGUUUGGAUUUCAUCCCCAGAUCUAAACUGACCUGCUGCAUGAAGCUUAACUCACUUCACCUCUUCAUUUUCCUUUUCAGCAUUUGCCUUUCAGCUCUGUUGAGGUGACAAACCCUUCGGGCCAGAAAGUCUGUGAGUGAAUGCACCAGGAUUUUGAUGUAUUAAUUAUUUGCAUCACAUUUUUAGUGCUUUUUAUCCCAUUGUGCUAGGUGCUGUGCAAGAACAGAUUGCAAAGACAGUGAAUUCUCCAGAGGUUAUUAAAAUAUAAAGUAUGUUCAUGUCAGACUCACAUGCAAGUUAUUACUGCACAGCAACUAGCCUACAUCAGCUGAAGCAUAGUCUCCGCUCAGAUAGGCACACUUAGUCAGGAGCAAAAGGAAGAUAAUUCUUUUUAGCCUAGUCCAGAGUGAACAGGAAUGACAAAAUCACAUUACUUGGUGUUCUCUACCAUCUGAGAGUACACACAGCGUUACUGCAGCUCUGGCAGUGAGGAGAAGUUGGUUAAAUCAUGCAACUUACACAGAAGGUUUGACCCCUACAAGAGGAGUGAAUUGAUGGAUUUAAACUGACAAGGGACUGCCAAGAAUGUGAGCUUCACACAAAUAAUAGUAUUCGUAGCCCAAGUGGAGCGCAUUGAUAGCUGCCCUGCAGAAGAGAUCUGUGAGUUCCACCAACAGAUAAAAGGGAAGGGUUUUUUGUUUGUUUGUUUGUUUGUUUGCUUCAGAAAACAAAGCGUAUCUUUAAAAAUACUAAUGUGCAUUUUGUAAAAUACUCCCAAAGCACCCAAAAUUUUGAUGGAGCUGGCAAAACAGCACUGGCUUCUAAUUUUACUGCAGUGUCAUCACAUGUGGAAAGAAGUAACAACAACAAAUUCUGACUAGUGCCUAUGAUUAACACCUCCUAGAGCAGCAACAUCAGAGGACCACUGAUAACACUUUUUAUCAGUUACAAGGAAAACAUCAACAUCCGGAGUGUGCCCAAAUGACCUACAGUGAAAUUUGGUCACGAACUCAUCCCACUGUUUAAUGACUGCCCAGCUGAAGGAAUGUACUCUUGAUUUUCCAUUCACUACUAGCCCAUGCACGCAGAAGUGUGUGCGUUCCUCACUUCUCUAAUCAUGAGAGAUUUUGGUUUCAAUGACCAUAGUGGUUGUGAUGUGUUUAUUGCCAUCAUGUUUCGAGUAGAAGUUGUUUCUGUCCUUUCAGGACUCUUCUACGGCAAGUAGAAAUGUUAACUGCUUGUGGGAGUGAUGAUUACAGAAAUUAUAACCUGUUGAGGCAAUGAAACUCCCAAGGCAUUAGCUGCUAUUUACACUGCUUAUUUGUCUAUGCUCACACUUUUAUGCUUCUGUCUGGAAUGAUCAGUCAGGUUGGUAAUGCAGAGGUGAAUGACUCCUUACUGUCAUGCUUAACAGCAGAGUCCCCUUGUAGUUUUUGCAAUGAGUGAGGGCUGAGCCCUGAAGAUCGAAGGUCUGGAACAUACCUAAAUUAGAUGUAUAUGAAAUAUAUCUUUCAUUCUUUAGCUUAUUACUUUCACAACACAAUUCUGUAAUUACCAACUCCAUAAGAAACAUAACAACAGCUGUUCUUGUGAUAUUUCAGUACCACUGGAAUUAGGAGAGGUAAGAAAUUCAGAGGUGUGUGACAGCUUUGAAAACAUCUAUUUCAGUAUGGAUUUCACUGAAAUAGAGUUUGUUUUUACCAUCCAUAGACAAAAGAGUAAUAGACUAGAUGCCAGAGAAAAAACUAAGGGAGGUCCAUGAUGGCCAGGAUUAUUCAGUUUGGAAGAAAUUGUCAUUUCUUCAAGAAAAAAAGGUGCUAGUUUGAACAGUUCAGAGAUGCACAAAGCAGCAAAGAAAAAGCUAGCAUGGUAGAAAAUUGAAUUUUCAGAACAUGGUUUAAAAUAAAUUCUCAUCUUAAAACUUCAACCAGAAGUUCCAGGUUAUUAAGAGAAGAAACCAAAGUAACUCUUCUCAAGGAGAAACCAAAAAUGUUAUAAUUUCCUAACUACUGUUAUUUCCUGACUUCCUCUACUGAAAUUAGAAAAGGCUGGUGCUUAGAUGCCAUGACGCUUUGGGAACCAAAAGAACUUGGAGUUUUGAGUGUCUUAUUUGGGAAGCAGCUGAGAGGUUCAGAGAGCAAGCUCUGAGGAACCAGGCAGAUUUCGUAAUACUUCCAUGAAAACAGCAAGAGUUGAUGAAAAUGUGGCUUCUUUGUUCUUUUGUGCCUUCCAAUUUGAAGCCCUUUCACCAUAAAAUAUCAAUGGCAUAGGAAGGAUUACUUCCUCACAAGCCACAAAUCAAGUAAUCAUCUACUUCAAUACUUCUUGAAGAAGGUAAAAAAUGUAACAAACUCAAAUUACAAUGAAGAAUUUAGAGUUGCUGGAAUAACCUCUUUCUUCUGUUUUGUGAGCUUGAUUGCAAGAAGGAUGUCAAGUAAGAACGAAACUAUUUGGAGAAGGAAAGCAAAUAUGCAACAAGGAGUUGUGAGCCAUCACUAGGAUACAGCCUGCAAACCAUAAUCACUUCACCAGUGGUCCAGCAGACCACUGGUAUGAACAGGAGAGGAUAGGAAACAGGCUGAAGUUUAUCUGUCUCCUUUGUAUUUGCAGUGGAUUAGGAAUAGAAACACACACAGGGUCAGGUUCAGUGCUGUGAGAAGCAUGUUUGGAUUGAGGAAUAGUAAAUGACAACAUCUUAUCAUGGAUCCUUACAACUGUCUGUUUAACCUUCAAUUGUUACACAUGGAUCUACAGAACUGGAUUUAGAGACUUAGAGAACAUAUAGCAUUCAAUCUGGGGUGGGAAAAAAAUCUAGUACUAAGAAUAAAUGAAAAAAAUAUAUAUGGUUUAAGCUAUACAGGAGCUCAUUAUCUUCUUGAUCCUUAAAGCUUAAAAAGCUAUACAUGUAAAAUGAACGAACAGAAAAAGUUGCAUCUAUGCACCACGUGGUUCACCUGUGGAAUGCACUAACACAGAAGGUCAGAAGUGUUAAAAUGCAGAUUUUUAAAGAUUUUCACGGUUACCACGUAUAGCACCAGCAAUGACAAGAUGCCAAGUUAAUAAUUUAUUCCACCUCAAAAUUUUUAACAUCAGCUGAUUGCUUACCAAGGUAACACAAUUUUCUCCCCUUCUCUUGCAGUGAAAUGAUAUUGUGCCUCUACUUUGGGGGGGGGAUAUUUUUUUUCUGCUAGAACCAACAACCAAACACCUGAAAAGAGUGAGAAGUUCUUCUAGACUGAGGUUUCUCCUUUGCAAAGUCAGAAAAAGAUCCCUACACAUUUUUUGAAAAUAAAAAGGGCUGUGAAAAUUCUGAAGCGUCUGAUUCAUGUGAGAGUUGACAAAGUGAGACAUUCAGAUUGUUUCAUAGAUACUGCAGUUGCUCGUGAACUGUAGGAGGCUUUUCAUCAGCUUCAGGAAGUUUCUUCUUAGCCCUUAAACCCUACAAAGAAAUCUUCCUCUUUUUGGAAACGAGAUUUCUCUGGAAUAGCCUAGACAAAAGCAUCAUACAUUCCUAGCUCAUGCUGCAUUUUGAUUUUUUGUGCUGAUGGCUGAGAUUUGUGGACAUUUUGGUCUCAGCCUGUAGUGUUUGGUCAUUCCACAGAGACUGUAGAGGCAGAAGUUGCCACUUUUGAUCUUCAUUCUGGCUAACUCAAUGUUGUCUAUCCAUGGGCAAGAAUAGUUGCUUCACAGACAGACAUAAACAGGAUAGCUUUGAGAUUAUAGGUUUUACACUGAGUACGUACUCUGAUUUUCAAUUAUUAGAUUGGUUCAGGAGCUGAAAAAAAAAAUGCUUUAUCUAGUUUCCAGAGUUUUAUUCAUAUGCAUUAAGUGUAACAACUCUUGCCACUCUUUGUUACACUCAUAAACAUUCAGUCUUCCUUUCAUUCUUCUUAAAUUCUCUACCUCGUGACAGGACAGUAGAUUUCAACCACUGCUGAUUUUGAUUAAUUUUCACAAGCCAAGUUGAGCACUGCUCUCAGCUGAUGUGUCAGCUACUGGACACUUCAUGGGCUAAUGGCCUGAUCUGGUCUGGGAAUUCUAACAUCAUUAUAGCU
ensembl:lncRNA